UUUCCGUAGGUGAACCUGCGGAAGGAUCAUUAUUGUAUAACCGAGGUGCGAGGGCUGUCGAUGACCCGAAAGGUCGUGCACGCCCGAGUGCCCUCACACACAUCCAUCUCGCCCCGAUGUCCACCACCGCGUGGGUCCCCCUUUGGCUUGUUCGGAGGGGGGCUUACGUUUUCACACAAACUUUGUAUGCAGUGUAGAAUGUAGUUUUUGUUUUUGCGAUCACGCAAUCAAUACAACUUUCAACAACGGAUCUCUUGGCUCUC
rnacentral:misc_RNA from 1 species